rnacentral:rRNA from 1 species
UACGUAGGGGGCUAGCGUUGUCCGGAUUUAUUGGGCGUAAAGAGCGUGUAGGCGGCCAAGUACGUCCGUUGUGAAAACUGGAGGCUUAACCUCCAGCUGUCGAUGGAAACCAUUUGGCUAGAGUCCGGAAGAGGAGAGUGGAAUUCCCGGUGUAGCGGUGAAAUGCGCAGAUAUCGGGAAGAACACCCGUGGCGAAGGCGGCUCUCUGGGACGGUACUGACGCUGAGACGCGAAAGCGUGGGGAGCGAACAGG